rnacentral:rRNA from 1 species
GACGAAGGAUGCAAGCGUUAUCCGGAUUCAUUGGGUUUAAAGGGUGCGUAGGCGGCCAGAUAAGUCAGUGGUGAAAUCUCCUUGCUUAACAAGGAAACUGCCAUUGAUACUGUUUGGCUUGAGUAUAGUUGCUGUGGGCGGAAUAUGACAUGUAGUGGUGAAAUACAUAGAGAUGUCAUAGAACACCGAUUGCGAAGGCAGCUCACAAAAACUAUAACUGACGCUGAGGCACGAAAGUGCGGGGAUCAAAACAGG